rnacentral:sRNA from 1 species
AAAGAAAAAAUAAUUGCCACCAACAUCAACAAAUAAUAGAUCAAAAGAACAGGAAGAAAAAUCCGACAACAGCACAUCAUCUCUCGAAAAGUGUGGUUGAUUUUGAGCUUCUGCCUGCGGCCUGCGGAGGUGCAUCUCCAAAAUUCGGAAUCGAAUCAAAGGAGCUGCAUGAGAGGGGGACUACUAAGAUUAGAAUAGUAAAAAAGUCUAACCAUGACAACGAGGGCAACCUCGUAUUUCCGCACGUGG